UGAUACUCAGCUACCCCUUAGUGUUACUA
rnacentral:piRNA from 1 species